CCGAGCUUGGAACUUCGUUAGCUGCGAUGAGUUUCCUGGCCGCUACAUUCCUACUCCUGGUGUUCAGCGCAGCCACUCAGGCCGAACCAGUGCAGUUCAAGGACUGCGGUUCUGUGGAUGGAGUUAUAAAGGAAGUGAAUGUGAGAUCAUGCCCCACUCAGCCCUGCCAACUGAGCAAAGGACAGUCGUACAGUGUCAAUGUCACCUUCACCAGCAAUAUUCAAUCUAAAAGCAGCAAGGCCGUGGUGCAUGGCAUCCUGAUGGACGUCCCAGUUCCCUUUCCCAUUCCUGAGUCUGAUGGCUGUAAGAGUGGCAUUAACUGCGCCAUCCAAAAAGACAAGACCUAUAGCUACCUGAAUAAACUACCAGUGAAAAGUGAAUAUCCCUCUAUAAAACUGGUGGUGGAGUGGUAACUUCAGGAUGAUAGAAACCAAAGUCUUUUCUGCUGGGAAAUCCCAGUACAAAUCGUUACUCAUCAAGUGCCUCAUUGAGUUCAGUGCAUCUGGCCAACGAGUCUGCUGACUCUUGACAGCACCUCCAGCUCUGCUGCUUCAACAACAGUGACUUGCUCUCCAAUGGUAUCCAGUGAUUCGUUGAAGAGGAGGUGCUCUGUGGGAGAAACUCAGCUCUGGAUGGCUGGUUGUCAGUGGCUGUCUUAUGCUUCUUUUUCUAUCUUGGGUCGUUUUCAUUAAAUGCAGCACUUGGUUAACAGA